rnacentral:rRNA from 1 species
AGAACGAACGCUGGCGGCAUGCCUAAUACAUGCAAGUCGAACGAACUCUUCGGAGUUAGUGGCGCACGGGUGCGUAACGCGUGGGAAUCUGCCCCUUGGUUCGGAAUAACAGUUGGAAACGACUGCUAAUACCGGAUGAUGACGAAAGUCCAAAGAUUUAUCGCCAAGGGAUGAGCCCGCGUAGGAUUAGCUAGUUGGUGAGGUAAAGGCUCACCAAGGCAACGAUCCUUAGCUGGUCUGAGAGGAUGAUCAACCACACUGGGACUGAGACACGGCCCAGACUCCUACGGGAGCAGCAGUAGGGAAUAUUGGACAAUGGGCGAAAGCCUGAUCCAGCAAUGCCGCGUGAGUGAUGAAGGCCUUAGGUUGUAAAGCUCUUUUACCCGAGAUGAUAAUGACAGUAUCGGGAGAAUAAGCUACCGGCUAACUCCGCGCCAGCAGCCGC